rnacentral:rRNA from 1 species
GGGUUGUGAGGUUAAGCGACUAAGCGUACACGGUGGAUGCCCUGGCAGUCAGAGGCGAUGAAGGACGUGCUAAUCUGCGAAAAGCGUCGGUAAGGUGAUAUGAACCGUUAUAACCGGCGAUGUCCGAAUGGGGAAACCCAGUGUGAUUCGUCACACUAUCGUUAACUGAAUACAUAGGUUAACGAGGCGAACCGGGGGAACUGAAACAUCUAAGUACCCCGAGGAAAAGAAAUCAACCGAGAUUCCCCCAGUAGCGGCGAGCGAACGGGGAGCAGCCCAGAGUCUGAAUCAGCUUGUGUGUUAGUGGAACGGUCUGGAAAGUCCGACGGUACAGGGUGAUAGUCCCGUACACCAAAAUGCACAGGCUGUGAACUCGAAGAGUAGGGCGGGACACGUGGUAUCCUGUCUGAAUAUGGGGGGACCAUCCUCCAAGGCUAAAUACUCCUGACUGACCGAUAGUGAACCAGUACCGUGAGGGAAAGGCGAAAAGAACCCCGGCGAGGGGAGUGAAAAAGAAA